GGAUCCCAAAUGGGUUCUUCAGCUGUCCCCAUAGGAGAACCCUUUUGUGCUCCAGUUGUGUUGUGACAAGGUGCAGUCACAAAAACCAUAAAGCGCUAAGAUGAAACUGGCUCACAUCAGGACCCCCACAGAAAAGGAAGACCCAGAGUUACCUCUGCUGCAGAGGGUAAGUUCAUUAGAGUUAACUGCACCUCAGAUUUCAGCCCAAAUACAUUCUUCACAGAGUUCAAGUAACAGACAAAUCUUAACGUAAACUGUUCAGAGGAGACUGUAUGAACCAGGCCUUCAUGGUCGAAUUGCUGCAAAGAAACCACUACUGAAGGACACCAAUAAGAAGUAGAGACUUGCUUGGGCCAAGAAACACGAGGGGUGGAAAAUUAAAAAGCACUUAUUAUACAAGAGGCCUACGUUCCUUCUGGAAGCCAAGGGUUUAAGGCAGUCAAGCUAUUCUACAAGAAGGACGGGUGGAAAUCUGUCCUUUGGUCUGAUGAGUCCACAUUUGAGAUGUUUGGUUCCAACAUCUGUGUCUUUGUGAGACACAGAGUUGGUGAACGGAUGAUCUCCCCUUGUGUGGUUCCCAACAUGAAGCAUGGAGGAGGAGGUGUGGGGGUGCUUUCCUGGUGACACUGUCUGUAAUUUAUUUAGAAUUCAAGGUACACUUAACCAGCAUGGCUACCACAGCAUUCUGCAGCGAUACGCAAUCCCAUCUGGUUUGUGCUUAGUGAGACAAUAAUUUGUUUUUUAACAGGACAAUGACCUAAAACACACCUCCAGGUUGUAUCAGGGCUAUUUGACCAAUGAGAAGAGUGAUGGAGUGCUGCAUCAGAUGACCGGGCCUCUACAAUCACCCGACCUCAACCCAAUUGAGAUUGUUUGGGAUGAGUUGGACCGCAGAGUGAAGGAAAAACAGCCAACAAGUGCUCAGCAUAUAUAGGAAUCCUUCAAGAAUGUUGGAAAAGCAUUCCUCAUGAAGCUGGUGUAGAGAAUGCCAAGAGUGUGCAAAGCAGUCUUUAAGGCAAAGGGUGGCUACUUUGAAGAAUCAAAAAUAUAUUUUGAUUUGUUUAACACUUUUUUUGGUCACUACAUGAUUCCAUAUGUGUUAUUUCAUAGUUUUGAUGUAUUCACUACUAUUCUACAAUGUAGAAAAUAGUACAAAUAUAGAAAAACCCUUGAAUGAGUAGGUGUUCUAAACCUUUUGUCACGUCCUGACCAGCAGAUGGAGCUAGUGUUUUAGUUUUGGUCAGGACGUGGCAGGUUUGUGUUUGUUAAAUGUUGGGUUGAUGAUUGGGACUUCCAAUUGAAGGCAGGUGUGUAUAGUUGCCUUUGAUUGGAAGUCCUAUAUAGGUGUGUGUGUUUGUCUUUGGGGUUGUGGGGAAUUGUUCUGUGUUGAGCCUAUGCUUUGCCAGACUGUUUGUUGGUUGUUCGUUCAUUCUCAUGGUUUGUUAUUUUGGCAUUCAUUUUGAUAGUUAAUAAAAGUCAAGAUGAGCCUGCACAUACCUGCUGCGUUUUGGUCCUCUUCUCUCCAGUACGACAUUUUUAAGGAUGAGUACAACUAUUUUUAUGACAGAAUUCCCCACCAACAAAGGACCAAGCAGCGGAAGAAGGCUGGCGAGGUAAGGGAGACCGAGAGGCACCCCCAAUAAUUUUUUAGGGGGGGGCACAAGGGCUGUUUAACGGGGCAAGAGCUGCCCGCCAGUCAGUCGCCAGAGCUGCCCGCCAGUCAACAGUCGCCAUCAGAGCUGCCCGCCAGUCAACAGUCGUCAUCAGAGCUGCCCGCCAGUCAACAGUCGUCAUCAGAGCUGCCCGCCAGUCAACAGUCGUCAUCAGAGCUGCCC
rnacentral:lncRNA from 1 species